rnacentral:snRNA from 1 species
GGAUAUGAAGGUGAUCUGGCUGGAACAUCUGUCACCCCAUUGACUGCCAGGGUUGAUACAGCUAAUGUGGCUGGCUAAACAGUUGUCCCCUUCUCCUUCACCACUCCAUGUGUGUCCCUCCUGAAGCUGCACGCUCAGUGGAAAAGGACGACCACCUCCAAUAGAGGAGGACCAUUUCCUUGGUCAAGGGUAUACAAGGAGAUGUGCUCCCCUGCUAGAACCUCCAAAUGAGCUCGCAAGACCGCCUUCCGUGUGACAAUUGAAGCAAAGGUUAUUUCUGUUGUACAGUUCUAUUGGUAUUUUCAUUGUAGUUCAUGUA